AUGAGAAACCUCCAGACUGAGCUGACAGUCCAAUACUUUAGAGAGAAGCACCUCUCCCUUUGGCCUCUUUUUACCUUAGAGAAUGCCAUCAUGUAUGAAGAUCUCUCUCUAACUGAGAGGUUCUGUAUCCUUAAGGCCGUGACAGAGGUAACACUGGCAGGCAACCCGGAUGCCGUCAAUGGGGAUGUCCACCAACUUGAGUGUGCCAAGAGGUAUAACUUCCACCUUAGUCUUCUUGAGCAUCUGAAUGGUUCAAAUUCCACUCUGGCAGGUAAACUUCUUUUGGCUUUUUUUGACACAUUUUCAGAUGUGUCUCAGACCAGCAGGGAGCUCCUUAGUCAAAUUCUCUUCAGUAACAUCUGGACACCUGUAGAAAUCCUGCUCUUUCUUCGUGGGGUUGGUUCCAUGGACCAGAAGAAAACAGAUGCAAUCCUUCAUACAGUGCAGACCUACAGGCUGGAUCUUCUCUCCACACUCUCUGCCCUUAGAAGUAAUGAUCCCAAUAAGACUCUGCAAGGUUAUGCAGAAGAAGAAACUGACAAAGAUAUUGACACCAUUUUGAGUGAGAUGCGGGAUGCAAAUUACCCCGAAAAGUUACUCUCUAUAAUGGAGACUGUCUUAGGACAUAUAGAAGAGAAGCUUUCAAAAGAUCCCAUGGUAGACACACAGAAGAAACUGAGCAAGAGAGAAAAAAUGGAAAUGAUCAAAGACUUCAAGAACAAAAUUAAAUUGUUGAAUUUUGCUGAGGCAGACAACACUAUCCUCAAGGAAGUUCUUAUUACAAUGUGUAUUGCUGUUAAAGACUGCACAGCCGUUUCCACUCAAAGUGGAGAGCAAAUCAAGGGAUAUUUUCCCAGACUCACCCAGCUGGCAUCAUUAGUCAUGCUCCUUCUACCAAAGGCAACAUCAGAUAAAGGAUGCCUCUUAGAAAUUGGCACAGGAGAAGGAAAGUCUUGCAUUCUAGCUAUGUUUGCAGCAAUCCAGGCCAUCAGAGGGGCCACAGUCGACAUUGUGACCAGUUCUCCAAUCCUUGCACGACGGGACGAAGAGGAGUGGAGAAAACUUUUUGACAUGUUUGAUAUCACAUCCUCCGUUGUGCCUCCACCGUUGAUGAAGGAGAGCAGCCUUAAAAGCUGUGACAAAAUACUACAGGACGCUUACAAAAGACAGAUUGUGUAUGGAACUGUAAGUGACUUUGCAGCAGACACUUUGAGGCAGGAAUUUGAGAAAAACACCACUCGUGGGGAGAGGAAGUUUGACUUAGUGAUUGUGGAUGAAGUAGAUUACAUGACCUUGGACAGUGGAGUGCAGGUGACCUUCCUGUCUCAUGAAGCCAGCGGCCUUAGGCACGUUGAGCAAGUCCUUGCUAGCAUUUGGUGCAUGAUAUCCGUGUGUCGGCCUAUUCGAAUGGAAGAAACGGGGGAGACUGAGUGGAUAACUGGGAUACAGCAUUUUCACAAGGCUGCAAAGAUGGCUGUUAUGGGCUCAGACAGAUCUGAACACUUUUCUGAAUUUAAUAUUCUGCAAACAGGGUUGCAGUUUGGAUUUUACACACAGGAAGACAUUGAUACAUUGAUGCAGAGUGAAAGUGAGGCACAAAGAGAUGGUAAAGCUGAUGAUUUUCAAGAUGAGAAUUGGAAAGCUAUUGAGGUGUUCAUGACUAAAAUUGGAGUGGAACAACAAUAUGAUCUGCUCAGUAUUCUUGAGACGGCAUUAGAUCAAACUGUUUUCAUCGACUGUUACACAUUAACAAAUAAUAAAGCCACAUCAAUUGGAGAGAAAAAAAGGGACAGUGACAUGAAAAUCAAAAUGCUUCUCCUCAACAAUGGACGAGCUAGUGAAAUAAUGUCUGAAAAAUCACUAAUUGAUGCAGUUGUUCUUGAGAUACAAUCUAAAAUCAUAUAUUCUGACCAAUGUCAGCCAAACUCAGAGGAAACCGAUAACUAUAUUGUGAUCCCCUUCUUCCUUAAGAAGUACAUUGAGAAUCGGAUGCCAGUCUUUGUGGGAAAUGCCUUAAAAGCUAUUGCAAUGAAACAAGGCAGAGAGUACAUGAUUGGCAUGUCUUCUGACGCUAAUCCAAGCACUGUCAGUGAGUCUGACAAACAUUUCUACCAUGCCAUCAUCCCAGUGGACUACCAGGCCAGUGGAGUACUGGAAAAGAACAAACGCUGGGGUGACGGCCUUCAACAGUUUCUAGAGAUGAAGCACCAGUUGGCCAUAUCAUCGCUAUCCAAUGUUACAAAUUAUAUGUCAAAUAUCCAUUACUUUAAAAGAUACCUUAAAGGGAGUGGCAUAUUUGGUGUUUCUGGAACAUUAGGUGGAAAUGCAGACAAACACUUCUUGAAAAGCCAUUACAAAUCAGACAGCUAUACGAUACCUUCUCACAGGCACAAUAAGGUAGUUGAACUCCCCGCUCUUCAGGUAAGCGGUGAUGACUUAAAAUGGAUAGAGGUAGUCUGUGAAAGUGCAUUGAAAGCUGCCGACAGGAACCAGGUCGUCUUGGUGGUUUGUGAGGAUGUUAAGACAGCAAAUGAAUUACAGGUGGCAAUGGCCAACCGAAGAGCAAAUCAACGACAUCCAAUCACCAUGUACACAAUCAGUGAGAGAGACAACAUUGAGCAAACCACAUUCAGUGGGGGAAGCAUCAUUAUCGCCACCAAUCUGGGAGGACGUGGCACAGACAUUAGAUUGGAGCAGAAAGUGAAUCAAUGCGGCGGACUCUUUGUCCUUCUCACGCACUUUCCUGACAAUCGCAGAGUGGAGAAACAGGUGUUUGGACGCACAGCCAGAAAAGGAAAUUCCGGCAUGGUACAAAUGAUACUCCAUUGUGACCAACUGGCACCAGCGUACCAGGGCCAGCCUGUGGAGAUCAUGAGGCAGCUAAGAGAGGAUCAUGAAAUCCAACGCAUCACUGGUAUGGAGACAAAUGAGCUGCAGGAAAUUGAAAGGAAGGAAAAAUUAUUUUCAACAGUUUGCCAAUUUCUUGACAAUUUUGACAGCAACUACUCAGAAAAAGAGAGAGAGAACCUGUUGACAAUAAAGGUGGAGGAACAUAGUUUCAGACGUCAAGGCGAUAAGCUUGAUUACCAGCCAGCACUCAAUGCUCUGAAAGAAUCCUGGGCAUUGUGGUUGACCCUUCAUGAGACCCAUAUCGAGAAGGAUGAUGAUAUCUCUGACUUGGAAGCAGACUUACUUCAACAAUUGACAAACACAAGGAACAUGAUGUUGAAAGGACAAAGCCGAAAUUUCUAUGACCAUCUGAAGCAGGCUGUUGUUAGAACCAACCUGCACUGCCGUGAUAAAACCAAGUGGGACUAUGAUGCAAAAUCUUCCUGGCAGAAAGCUGCAAAAUGUGACCCCUUUUACAGAGCAGUGGCGCUAUACAACCAAGCUUACAUCACAAUUAACCUGGCAGAGAGUGACCAUAAAACAGAGGCUAGUAAAUUACUGCAGGAAGCAAAAGACACACUAGGUAUCUAUAUCUCUGAAACAACAAACACUUUGAAUGCAUGUCAGAUGGCAAUGAGGGGCAACUUUGAGCCACAUCAUGAUGGUGUCUGCAAUUUCCAAAGUCAGAUGCAAUCUAGGAUGAAUAUUUUCCAAGCAUGGCUGGGAUACAUUAACAGUACACUGAAAAAACUUGCAGAGCUAAAGAACAGUAAAAGUAGCGCCAUAACAGAGGAUUCCUCAGUGUAUGCACUCUCAGACGGGACAGACUAUGUCACCACAAAUGAACUCAUGGGCCUGUAUGAGUACGGCCUUGGCAUGGUGUUCGAAGUAAAAGAGAAGCCAAGGUUCAACAUUGAUGCUCUUGUGUGUUUUUUACUGGGUGCAUGUCAGGUUCUGGCUGGAGUUCUUGUUUGUGCUCUGUCCUAUGGCUCCGCCUCCCAGUUUGGUCUUGCCUUGAUCUCAGAGGGAGUGUCUGACAUGAUCAGUGGGUGUGAUGGCAUGAUAACUGGCAGUUUCAGUUGGGCAUCGUGGGCCAUCUCCAAAAGCAUCGGUAUUGGGAUAUCUUUGCUCACUUCUGGAUUUGGCACCAUCAAGAGAGCUGUCCAGUCUGUAUAUAAAGCCACAAAAGGCUUGCUAACAGGUACAAAAACCCUGUCAUCUGUUGCAAAAGGUGUCAUUAAAUCAGGGAAACAUGCAUUCAUGUCUUUCAAAGGCAGUGUCACAGCGGUCUCCUCUCUGUCCCUAGGUACAGUGAAGAAGCUGGGCACGAAAACUGUAGUCAAACAGACUUUCAAACAUGCAACCAAGUAUGCAGGACAGGAAAUGGCUAAGCAGAUAGUUACCCACACAUUGCAUUACUUCAUUGAUGCAGGGCUUCAAGCUGUACUGAAGGAGAUUUUGAACAAGGCUUUCAAGGAUUCAAUCACCUCUGUAGUUAAAGAGAAUGAUGCAUUGAGUCACACUCUCACAGAGCUUGUAUGUGCUGGAGUUCCAAAAUCAGCUUUACAGAAACAAGCUGCUGAGUUCAAGAUAGACAGGGAGUGUGAAAAAAGUAUUAAAGAUUUAGUAAAAUCAGUGACAGAAAAAAUUAUUUCUGAUCUUAUGAUAGAUUGCAGCACAGUGCAUGAGAUCAUUGACAGAGUCUCUCAGGUGUGUAGCAAAGCGUCAGACCUUAUGGACAACGCAGGAGUGCCUGGAAAAGUCCAAACUGCUAUCUCUGCAAGCCUCUGCAUAGCAGAGUUCAGUACAGUGCUAGUCCAAAUGUUGAACUCUAUCCCUACAGAAAAAUGUAUCAAUGACAGAUUCUCUUCCAAGUUGAUAAAAGAAAUUCAUGCGCAACUGCCAAAUGGGUAUGACCAGGAUGGCAGACACAGACUCCUUGAUGUGGGACGCCUGAAGAAUGAGCUCCUCGAGGGCAUCUCAGAGAAUGUCUCCCAGGAAUUUAUUGAGUCCUGUGCCAGACACAUGAACUCCUUGAUAACACAUAUUUUUAAGGAAAAGAUCAAUAAAGUCACGAACGCCAUUGGCAAUACCACUAGCAACAUGCUUGGCAGGUACAAAACGGAAAACUAUUUCGUAGAGCAGAAGCAGAGGCAUGACAUGAAAUCAGCCAGUAAGCAUGCAGGGGAGUCUACAUGUGAGAUUGAACAGUCGGACCUCCAUCAUUACAUCAAUAACAUCAGUGAUAUUGACCGCCCUGCUUCAGAGCUGGACAUCUAUGUCCUUACAAAGAGUGACCUACUCCAGGGCCAAGGCAUCAGGGUCAAGGUAGUGGAUAAACAUGGGAAACCACUCGAUGAGCAAUCCUACCCAGGCACUGACUGCUCAGCAGGAUACAUCACACUCAAACUGACCAUGGAGCCAGAGACAGCUAAAAGUGAGAUGGGUCUGUUAUCUCACAUACAAGACCGAAUCCAAGGUGUUCAAACUGCGUACAGCGGCCAUUUUACCAUUGUUCAACCAGAUGGAUGUGAGACCAGGGUGAUGUCAGAGGGCCAGAAUUGCAUGUACCAUGCCUUAAUCCAGGCAACAUCCAGAAGCCAGGAGCAGGACAUCAAAGAACAGGCAAGGAUUCUGCGCAAAAAAGUACAAAGCGAGGUUCAGGAAAACCUCCCAACCUACUGUGAGUUAGUAAAACUCCAGAAGCGCUAUGAUAAUGUUAUGGAUCCUGGAAAAUAUUCCAUAUUGGGAGGGGUAAGGCCAGAAAAGAAGAUUAUCAGCCAGGACUACAGGGAUGCCAUCGCACCUAUGACGGAAACCGACUAUAUCAUUGCCCAGCUUUACGACCUUGGUUAUGUUGCCACAUACAAAGAUGUAAGAAACACCAUAUUGUCUGGAAGGUACGCUGUGGAAGCCGACCACAUCAUACCAAAGGACACAUUAAGGAAGGCACUAGUACACCGUGACUUGGAAAAACUCAAGAGUAAGAAUUCACAACUUUAUGCUCUAGUAACAAGUAUUCAAUCGGACCCAAAUGGAAGAUGCCACCUUGUCAUGCAGGUUCUCUACCAACAUCACCGCACUGCCUUGACAACUGGCAAUUGCAUGGAGGCCAAACUGUGCAGGGCACUGCUGGCUGACACACUCGUAAGUGGGAAUGCUGAGAAGAUGCUGAAGCAGGCCAUGAUUAUGGCCAAUCCUGUGUCCUCCCAGAAGCUUAGGGAUUAUGCAGGUAUCGACAUCACAAGCUUGUCUACUGCUGUCCAUUCCCUACUGCUCUGUUUAUUCCAUGUUGCUCCAUGCAUUCCCCACUGCUUAAUCCAUUCCCCACUGCUCUAUUCACUCUCUUAUUCAACAUCCAUUCUCUACUCCAGUGCUCUUUAAUUCUAUGUAACUGCUUAAAUUUGGAUGAGUAUUUUUAUUCAGAGGACUUACCAGUUUAUUGUACAUGUUUACCCUACACCUAGGCCUCAGAAACCGCUCGUCCAUUGGAAAACAUCAAGACUUUUCAGAAAAUGGGACGAACUGCUACUACAAAGCUGGGUUCAUGAAUGUGUUCAGUGAGUAUCUGAAAAUUGGCAUCAUUGACCAGAACCAGCAUACGAGGCUAAAGUCAUGGGCCAAAGAAAACAGGCACCAGGACACAAACACAGAGGAGUUUAGAGAGAUACAAAGAAUAGUCGAAGGACAACAAGGUGAGAAAUCGAGGAAACGGGUGAGAGGAAACAUGCUCGGACCACAGACACAUCAAAGCCCCUGACAAAGUGGGAACAUUCUCUCUCCCUGUAUCCUAUAGUCAUUUACACAGAAUUUAGAUCAUGCAUUUAAUUAUGUUUGUAAAGGAAAAUAAUGUAGACAUCAGCUGUAUAUUGAUGACCAAUGUAGGGUCUUUGUAAGCCCGAAUGUCACAUGCUGGAGAAUGGUGAAUGAUUUCUUAUGUUUCUUCAUGAGGGACUUGGUUUUCUAUCUGUUACAUAAAAAAGGAAAAGACCCGACUCUCUGUUCAAGUCAUAGGCCUCUCUCCCUCAUCAAUAUUGACAUGAAAUUGUACGCCAAGGUUCUAGCCAAACACCUUGAAACUAUUUUGCAAAAACUAGUUCAUCCUGGUUUGUCAAAUAUCGAUUGGCGUCAGACAAUUGGAGACGUCUCCUACGUAUAAUACAAAUUACACCUGAUAUACCAUCCUCCUGUGCAGUCCUGUCAAUUGAUGCAGAGAUGGCCUUUGACUGUCUCGGGUUGGGUCUACCUCUGGUAAACUAUGGAACAUAUGGGAUUUGUUUAUGACUAUGUUGAAGACACUGUAUAGUAACCCCUCUUUAAUGGUCUUGAGAGUGUGAUGGAAAUGUGAUACAUUUGCUUUUCUUAUAACUAAUUUCUGUGUUCUAUUCAUGUGCUGUUCUAUAAACCAAUUUCUGUGUUCAUGCAAGUGACUGACUGAACGAACCCUCACUAUCAGUAACUGCAAUUUAGCAGUACGUCCAGACCUUGUUUUGAGAAUGAAAGACGUCUCAGCUUAGAGAGAAGAAGCCUCGUGAGGUAUUCGUUAUGAACCAGUAUUGGUCGGUCAUGUGAAUGAAACAAAACACAAAUAAUUAAUUAAUUAUGCUAAAUCAUGCAAAUGUAACUUGUAUGUGUAUAGCCGUAUAUAAGACAACUGCUGGGACAGCCCAGGCAGAGCUUCUGACCGACGUUCACAAUGGUAUGCUGACAAAUAAACAUUGAUUAAUUUAAGAUUUACUUCGAGGGUCCCUGUGUAAAAUUCCACAACAAUGUGUAACCAGUGCUCCUCAGUUUUCCAUCAAACGGUGAUCUCAUCAAGGCUGUCCAGUGUCCAGUCUCCUAUUUGCCAUAUCACUGGCACCUUUUGGAAGAAAUAAAAAUGUCAAUCCUACUUCAAUCGAGUACAGGCUUAACUGAAUGACAGAGACAAAAUGCAAUCUAGAAUUUUAUUGAAUUGUUUGGGGUAGACCUCAUCUCUGAGGAAUGCUCCUUGGCAUCAGAUGCUGAUGACAGGUUACCUUAUGCUAGGGCAGUUGGCAUCAAAACCCCCCAAAAAUAAAUACGUUACUCACCAGGGAGAAGGGACACAUGGAGCAAUGGUUGGAUAUUAAGACACUGGUAAAUAGAUGUAAAAGAGAUGCAUGCAAAGACUAGAACAAAAGUGCAAUUAUACUGUAUACUGUAAUGUAAAGUAUUAUAUGAAAUGUUUGUUAAUUACAUCUAACCAACCACACAUGAUGUAAUGCAAUAUGUAUGAUUAACGUGAAACUACAGCUGAGCUUUGAACCCAAUAGUGCAGAUCUUCAACCAAAACAUAAUAUUAGAUAAAAUAAAUCUGAAUGAACAAAUAAAACAACAAUUACAUAUUUAAUUUAUUUCAUAAACAAAGUUAUGCAACACCUAAUGCCCCUGUGUGAAAAAGUAAUUGCCCCCUUACACUCAAAAACUGGUUGUGCCACCUUUAGCUGCAAUGACUGCAACCAAAUGCUUCCUGUAGUUGUUGAUCAGUCUCUUGUGUCGCUGUGGAGGUAUUUUGGCCCAUUCUUCCAUGCAUAAUUGCUUUAACUCAGUGACAUUUGUGGCUAUUCAAGCAUGAACUGCUCGUUUCAAGUCCUGCCACAACAUCUAAAUUGGGAUUAGGUCUGGUCUUUGACUUGGUCAUUCCAAAACGUCAAAUUUGUUGCUUUUUGACCAUUUUCAUGUAGACUUGAUUGUGUGUUUUGGAUCACUGUUUUGCUGCAUGACACAGCUGCGCUUCAGCUCACAGAUGGAUGGCCUGACAUUCUCCUGUAGAAUUCAUGGUUCCUUCUAUUAAGGCAAGUUGUUCAGGUCCUGAGGCAGCAAAGCAUCCCCAAACCAUCAUACUACCACAACCAUGCUUGACCGUUGGUAUGAGGUUCUUACUGUAAAAUACAGUGUUUGGUUUUUGCCAGACAUAAUGGGACCCAUGUCCAAAAAGUUAUGUCCAUAGAACAUUCUUCCAAGGUGCUUCCAAGUGUUUUUCCACUCAAUUGUCCAGUGUUGGUGAUCGCGUGCCACUGGAGCCGCAAUAGCCCAUCCGUGACAAGGACCGGCGAGUUGUGUGUUCCGAGAUGCCGUUCUGCACACAACUAUUGUAUUGCGCUGUUUUUGCCUGUUUGUGGCCCACCUGUUAGCUUGCACAAUUCUUGCCAUUCUCCUUUGACCUCAUCAACUAGUUGUUUUCGCCCACAGGACUGCCGCUGACUGGAUGGAUUUUGUUCAUCGCAGAAUUCUCGGUAAACCCUAGACACUGUCUUGCAUGAAAAGACCAGGAAGCAGGACGUUUCUGAGGUACUGGAACCGGCGCGCAUGGCACCGAUGAUGAUGAGGAUACCAUACUUAUGUUGGUUAGGUCAUUAGUUUUGCCCAUUCUAAGAUUCAAUCAAACAGUAACUGAAUGCCUUGAUGCCUGUCUUCCUGCUUUAUAUAGCAAGCCAACGCCAUGUGACUCACUGUCUUUAGGAGCUAACCAUUUUCUUGAACCAGGUGGUGUACCUAAUAAACUGACAAAGAGGCCUCCCAC
ensembl:lncRNA